GAGUCCAUUUCAGAAUAUGAAAAUAAACACUUUAAUUCUUCAUUUGUGAAAGUAAUUUCCUGUUUAGCCCCUCCUAGAAAUAUCCUAGCAAGACCAGUUUUAUGUAGUUGUAGUCUAAACUUCCAAUCUUCAAUGGUUCCAGCCGCUAUCAAUCUGAAGAAAAGAUUUAUAUAUAUAUAUUAGUCAAGUUUUCUUAAGACAAUUAAGUUAUUUUGAUAAAAUUAUUCUUAC
rnacentral:antisense_RNA from 1 species